rnacentral:rRNA from 1 species
CCCUUAGAUGUUCUGGGCCGCACGCGCGCUACACUGGUGCAGCCAACGAGCCACGCACGGCGCCGCACGUCGGCGCCCACCUUGGUCGGAAGGCCCGGGCAAUCUGGCAAACUGCAUCGUGAUGGGGAUAGAUCCUUGCAACUAUUGAUCUUCAACGAGGAAUUCCUAGUAAGCGCGAGUCAUCAGCUCGCACUGAUUACGUCCCUGCCCUUUGUACACACCGCCCGUCGCACCUACCGAUUGGAUGGUCCGAUGAGAUCUCCGGACUCGCGCUUGCAAGGCGGCAACGUCGCGCAAGAGCGGGGAAGUUGAUCAAAUCUUACCAUCUAGAGGAAGGUGAAGUCGUANCA